rnacentral:lncRNA from 1 species
UUAUCAUUUUACUUAUUCUAUAAUUCCUUCCAGAAUAAACUUGUAUAGGAGAAUUCAAACACAAGAAAAGACUAAGUGCAUGAGUUUCACUUGUAAGGAUCACAAAAUUAACUAUAUUUUGAACCACUAAAAUACUAAGAAAUACUACAAUGCUUCCUCCCAGUAACAAUAUUCCUUCAUCAACUGAUAACCACAAUAAGCAACCUUGCACUCUCAAAAGACCGCUCAAAACUCAAUAAAUUCCAUCUAACACUAGGAAUAAUAGACUUCACUACAAUCAAUCUGAAUUCACAGAAUUUCUAUAAUCACAGACUUUUUCUAUCGAAACACACACACACAACUCUCAAUAAACAACAAUCAUAAUCUUCCAUCCAUAAUCAAUCUUCCAAUAACUUCUCAUAUAAUUCAAUCACUCAGUACUCCAAUUACAUAAUCAAUAACUCAUAAAUCAAUCUCUGAUUUAUUCCACAAACUCACUUCUCAGUAUUCAAAAACUAUCCAUUAUUCUU